GCUCCAGUGGCCUAGUGGUUAGAGCGUUAUCCUCAUAUGCGGGCGGUCGUGGGUUCGAUCCCCGGUCGAGUCA